rnacentral:ncRNA from 2 species
GGACAACGCUCCGCGUCAGGUGCCGCGGGAGGAGUCCUCCUCCGCGGUUAAACGGGAAACAGGUGCGCGCCGCCAGCAGCGGCGCAAUGCCUGUGCUGCCCCCGCAACGGUAAGGAAGUGCGGGUCCAUCACGAUGCCACUGGGUCACCCCCGGGAAGGCGAUGGAUCAAGACUUCCGAGCCCGGAUACCGGCCUGAACGGAAUUCGCGGA